rnacentral:rRNA from 1 species
UCUUAGUAACGGCGAGUGAGCGGCAAAAGCUCAAAUUUGAAAUCUGGCACCUUCGGUGUCCGAGUUGUAAUUUGAAGAAGCUACUUUGGGGCUAGUCCUUGUCUAUGUUCCUUGGAACAGGACGUCAUGGAGGGUGAGAAUCCCGUAUGGCGAGGAGUCUAGUCCUAUGUAAAGUGCUUUCGACGAGUCGAGUUGUUUGGGAAUGCAGCUCUAAGUGGGUGGUAAAUUCCAUCUAAAGCUAAAUAUUGGCGAGAGACCGAUAGCGAACAAGUACAGUGAUGGAAAGAUGAAAAGAACUUUGAAAAGAGAGUGAAAAAGUACGUGAAAUUGUUGAAAGGGAAGGGCAUUUGAUCAGACAUGGUGUUUUGCGACCCUCGCUCCUUGUGGGUGGGGAUCUCGCAGCUCACUGGGCCAACAUCAGUUUUGGCGGUAGGAUAAAUCUUUGGGAACGUGGCUUGUCUUCGGAGAAGCGUUAUAGCCCAGGGGAAUACUGCCAGCCGGGACUGAGGACUGCGACUUUUGUCAAGGAUGUUGGCAUAAUGGUUAAAUGCCGCCCGUCUUGAACCACGGACCAAAA